rnacentral:rRNA from 1 species
GACGAAGGGGGCUAGCGUUGUUCGGAAUUACUGGGCGUAAAGCGCGUGUAGGCGGUUAUCCAAGUCGGGUGUGAAAGCCUUGAGCUCAACUCAAGAAAUGCACUCGGUACUGGGUGACUAGAGGACCGGAGAGGAUAGUGGAAUUCCCAGUGUAGUGGUGAAAUACGUAGAGAUUGGGAAGAACACCAGUGGCGAAGGCGGCUAUCUGGACGGUUUCUGACGCUGAGACGCGAAAGCGUGGGGAGCGAACAGG